CUAGCUGGUUUUCACUCACCCCACUGUGGGAUUUCUUUGUUGCUUCUUGGGGUCUGAGGUAACACUUCAGUCAGCUGCAGGCAGGAACUACAGCUGAAACUAUUUUUUACUGUGUGUUGUUAUUUGCCUGCCUCAGGAGGGAAGGAAGCAAAGUAACAAAGAGCCUGAAGAUAUACACAGCUCCCAGGCCCUGGAUGGAGGCUGGCGGCGUCAGGCAGACAGAACCAACAGCCUUCGUGGCUGCGGACUACAGACUUGCUAUUGGAAAAGGCUAAGAAGAGCCAAUAAACUUGGCCACCUCACUUCUACUCCUCAGGCCCAUCAUCAGAGAGAAGUAAUGACUCCCGAGCUGGUUCAAGUUCAAAAACUUAAGCUGGUGUUUCAAUGAAGCCA